rnacentral:rRNA from 1 species
AUGCAAGUCGAGCGGUAACAGAAAGUAGCUUGCUACUUUGCUGACGAGCGGCGGACGGGUGAGUAAUGCUUGGGAACAUGCCUUGAGGUGGGGGACAACAGUUGGAAACGACUGCUAAUACCGCAUAAUGUCUACGGACCAAAGGGGGCUUCGGCUCUCGCCUUUAGAUUGGCCCAAGUGGGAUUAGCUAGUUGGUGAGGUAAUGGCUCACCAAGGCGACGAUCCCUAGCUGGUUUGAGAGGAUGAUCAGCCACACUGGGACUGAGACACGGCCCAGACUCCUACGGGAGGCAGCAGUGGGGAAUAUUGCACAAUGGGCGCAAGCCUGAUGCAGCCAUGCCGCGUGUGUGAAGAAGGCCUUCGGGUUGUAAAGCACUUUCAGUCAGGAGGAAAGGUUAGUAGUUAAUACCUGCUAGCUGUGACGUUACUGACAGAAGAAGCACCGGCUAACUCCGUGCCAGCAGCCGCGGUAAUACGGAGGGUGCGAGCGUUAAUCGGAAUUACUGGGCGUAAAGCGUACGCAGGCGGUUUGUUAAGCGAGAUGUGAAAGCCCCGGGCUCAACCUGGGAACUGCAUUUCGAACUGGCAAACUAGAGUGUGAUAGAGGGUGGUAGAAUUUCAGGUGUAGCGGUGAAAUGCGUAGAGAUCUGAAGGAAUACCGAUGGCGAAGGCAGCCACCUGGGUCAACACUGACGCUCAUGUACGAAAGCGUGGGGAGCAAACGGGAUUAGAUACCCCGGUAGUCCACGCCGUAAACGAUGUCUACUAGAAGCUCGGAGCCUCGGUUCUGUUUUUCAAAGCUAACGCAUUAAGUAGACCGCCUGGGGAGUACGGCCGCAAGGUUAAAACUCAAAUGAAUUGACGGGGGCCCGCACAAGCGGUGGAGCAUGUGGUUUAAUUCGAUGCAACGCGAAGAACCUUACCUACACUUGACAUACAGAGAACUUACCAGAGAUGGUUUGGUGCCUUCGGGAACUCUGAUACAGGUGCUGCAUGGCUGUCGUCAGCUCGUGUUGUGAGAUGUUGGGUUAAGUCCCGCAACGAGCGCACCCCUAUCCUUAGUUGCUAGCAGGUAAUGCUGAGAACUCUAAGGARACUGCCGGUGAUAAACCGGAGGAAGGGGGAC